UGAUUAUAUCAUGAAUACUUUUUAAACAGGAUUUUUAAAAAAUUAUUUUCGAAAUGAGGCCUGCAGACAUCCACAACAGGCCCCUCAGAUCUCCUAGUUCACAGGCAUCCCCUCCAUCCCUCCCUACGUGCUCUUUUCUCUUUGCAGGUAACCUGUGGGGGAGGCAGCCCGUGUCCUGGGAGCUUCCAGCUGGGACCCUGAUGACAUAUCCCUGUGCAGUCCCAGUCCUUGGUGAUGCCUUCUCUCUGUACGGAGUGAGGACGCCUCAGAGGCACCCCGCGCCUGGGCUCAUCCCUGCCACAAGUCCUCUGGGGCUCCCCCAGCAGCCUCCUGCCAGACAGCCCCCUCCGGCUCCGGCCUGUGAUCAAAUCCUGGCUCCGUCCUCAGCAGCGUUGCUCCUGGUAAUUUCUUUGCCUCUCUUUGCUACGGUUUCCUAACUUGGACAAUCUGGCUGGUGGGUUUCCUCUGUGAGGUCUGGUGAGGAGGCUGUGGGUGAGGAAUGAGCAGAGGUUCCCCUUCCAGAACCCAAGCCGCUUUCCAUGCCGGGCGCUUUAUGCUGUCGGCUCAUUGGAUUGUGCCCUCAACUCCACAAUGAAGGGGUUGUCCCCAUUUUUAGAUGGGACAGUUUCCCCCUGAGGUUUUGGAGGUGAGGGCCAGGCUGGCUCGGGAGCCCGGCAGUCGGAGGCUCCCGCUUCUGUUGUGCCGCUGAAGUUCUUGGCAGCGGUGCCUGCCCAGAGCCCAUUAGGCCGAGCCCUGGGAGGUCCCGGGAGGAAGUGGUGCUCAGGCCAGCUCGAGGGAGGGUGGGAGCUUGGCAGAAGAAAGGCUUAAGAAGCUCCAGGUAACCCUCGUGCGGGGAGAGCUGCAACAGGCCUUACUGGCUGUGCCUGUCUCCGGCCCCAGUGUCCAGAGCAGAGCAGCCUGCCUUCGGCUGCUUCCAGGCAUCCUGCUCCUGGGAGGCCCUGUCAGCUCCAAGAGGCUCUUAGAGCAG
ensembl:lincRNA